UACGGAGGGUGCAAGCGUUAUCCGGAUUCACUGGGUUAAAGGGUGCGUAGGUGGGUUGGUAAGUCAGUGGUGAAAUCUCCGAGUCUUAACUUGGAAACUGCCAUUGAUACUAUCAGUCUUGAAUAUUGUGGAGGUCAGCGGAAUAUGUCAUGUAGCGGUGAAAUGCUUAGAUAUGACAUAGAACACCAAUUGCGAAGGCAGCUGGCUACACAUAUAUUGACACUGAGGCACGAAAGCG
rnacentral:rRNA from 1 species